rnacentral:rRNA from 1 species
ACGAACGCUGGCGGCGUGCUUAACACAUGCAAGUCGCACGGAAAGGCCCUGCUUUUGUGGGGUGCUCGAGUGGCGAACGGGUGAGUAACACGUGAGUAACCUGCCCUUGACUUUGGGAUAACUUCAGGAAACUGGGGCUAAUACCGGAUAGGAGCUCCUGCUGCAUGGUGGGGGUUGGAAAGUUUCGGCGGUUGGGGAUGGACUCGCGGCUUAUCAGCUUGUUGGUGGGGUAGUGGCUUACCAAGGCUUUGACGGGUAGCCGGCCUGAGAGGGUGACCGGCCACAUUGGGACUGAGAUACGGCCCAGACUCCUACGGGAGGCAGCAGUGGGGAAUAUUGCACAAUGGGCGGAAGCCUGAUGCAGCAACGCCGCGUGCGGGAUGACGGCCUUCGGGUUGUAAACCGCUUUCGCCUGUGACGAAGCGUGAGUGACGGUAAUGGGUAAAGAAGCACCGACUAACUACGUG